rnacentral:tRNA from 1 species
GUCCUCGUAGCUUAUACUCAAAGCAUAACGCUGAAGACGUUAAGACAGAUGCCAAUGCAUCCAAGGACA